UUAAGAGGCUAUAUGCUAUUAGAAGUCUAAGGUCAGUUAUCAACAAUUUAGUGAGGUAAAGAAGCUUUGUGUCAACAUUAAGGUUUCAUUUAUAAAAAAUUAAACGAAUCGACAGUUAGCUGAAAAGGCUAGUCAGUUACUUCCUUUUUCACGCACAAGCUAUUGAUCCUGAAAUUGUAUUCCAGUUGCGAAAAUGCAUCUGAAUCUUGAGCUUGAUUCGCUUCCAUACACAAUACAUCGUUUCAAUCCGUCAACAUUACCCUCCACAUAUCUUCGUCUCGUCGAAGGCCAAUUAUGGUUCAGUAUAACCAAAACUACACAAGAAUUAUCGAUUGUCAUUUCUCAUGACUAUUCGGAUGAAAGUUCAAUGCUACUUGCUAACGAUCAUCGAGUGAACCGAGGUUGGCGAUGCUUUAGGGUUGUUGGUCCUCUAGAUUUUGGGUUGAUUGGAAUUUUGGCUAAUCUGGCUGAUGCGCUUGCAGUUCAGUCAAUUUCAGUAUUUGUUGUAUCCACAUUUGAUACUGAUUACAUACUCGUUAAGAAGGACAAAGUGUUGGACGCGAAAAAAGCUUUUGAAGAUAUUGGACACUUUGUUAAAGAGGUUGAACGUUUUGCUGAAUAAACGAACUCUAUUGGACUUG